GGUUAAGCGACUAAGCGUACACGGUGGAUGCCCUGGCAGUCAGAGGCGAUGAAGGACGUGCUAAUCUGCGAUAAGCGUCGGUAAGGUGAUAUGAACCGUUAUAACCGGCGAUUUCCGAAUGGGGAAACCCAGUGUGAUUCGUCACACUAUCAUUAACUGAAUCCAUAGGUUAAUGAGGCGAACCGGGGGAACUGAAACAUCUAAGUACCCCGAGGAAAAGAAAUCAACCGAGAUUCCCCCAGUAGCGGCGAGCGAACGGGGAGCAGCCCAGAGCCUGAAUCAGUGUGUGUGUUAGUGGAAGCGUCUGGAAAGGCGCGCGAUACAGGGUGACAGCCCCGUACACAAAAAUGCACAUGCUGUGAGCUCGAUGAGUAGGGCGGGACACGUGGUAUCCUGUCUGAAUAUGGGGGGACCAUCCUCCAAGGCUAAAUACUCCUGACUGACCGAUAGUGAACCAGUACCGUGAGGGAAAGGCGAAAAGAACCCCGGCGAGGGGAGUGAAAAAGAACCUGAAACCGUGUACGUACAAGCAGUGGGAGCACGCUUAGGCGUGUGACUGCGUACCUUUUGUAUAAUGGGUCAGCGACUUAUAUUCUGUAGCAAGGUUAACCGAAUAGGGGAGCCGAAGGGAAACCGAGUCUUAACUGGGCGUUAAGUUGCAGGGUAUAGACCCGAAACCCGGUGAUCUAGCCAUGGGCAGGUUGAAGGUUGGGUAACACUAACUGGAGGACCGAACCGACUAAUGUUGAAAAAUUAGCGGAUGACUUGUGGCUGGGGGUGAAAGGCCAAUCAAACCGGGAGAUAGCUGGUUCUCCCCGAAAGCUAUUUAGGUAGCGCCUCGUGAAUUCAUCUCCGGGGGUAGAGCACUGUUUCGGCAAGGGGGUCAUCCCGACUUACCAACCCGAUGCAAACUGCGAAUACCGGAGAAUGUUAUCACGGGAGACACACGGCGGGUGCUAACGUCCGUCGUGAAGAGGGAAACAACCCAGACCGCCAGCUAAGGUCCCAAAGUCAUGGUUAAGUGGGAAACGAUGUGGGAAGGCCCAGACAGCCAGGAUGUUGGCUUAGAAGCAGCCAUCAUUUAAAGAAAGCGUAAUAGCUCACUGGUCGAGUCGGCCUGCGCGGAAGAUGUAACGGGGCUAAACCAUGCACCGAAGCUGCGGCAGCGACGCUGAUGCGUUGUUGGGUAGGGGAGCGUUCUGUAAGCCUGUGAAGGUGUACUGUGAGGUAUGCUGGAGGUAUCAGAAGUGCGAAUGCUGACAUAAGUAACGAUAAAGCGGGUGAAAAGCCCGCUCGCCGGAAGACCAAGGGUUCCUGUCCAACGUUAAUCGGGGCAGGGUGAGUCGACCCCUAAGGCGAGGCCGAAAGGCGUAGUCGAUGGGAAACAGGUUAAUAUUCCUGUACUUGGUGUUACUGCGAAGGGGGGACGGAGAAGGCUAUGUUGGCCGGGCGACGGUUGUCCCGGUUUAAGCGUGUAGGCUGGUUUUCCAGGCAAAUCCGGAAAACUAAGGCUGAGGCGUGAUGACGAGGCACUACGGUGCUGAAGCAACAAAUGCCCUGCUUCCAGGAAAAGCCUCUAAGCAUCAGGUAACAUCAAAUCGUACCCCAAACCGACACAGGUGGUCAGGUAGAGAAUACCAAGGCGCUUGAGAGAACUCGGGUGAAGGAACUAGGCAAAAUGGUGCCGUAACUUCGGGAGAAGGCACGCUGAUAUGUAGGUGAAGUCCCUCGCGGAUGGAGCUGAAAUCAGUCGAAGAUACCAGCUGGCUGCAACUGUUUAUUAAAAACACAGCACUGUGCAAACACGAAAGUGGACGUAUACGGUGUGACGCCUGCCCGGUGCCGGAAGGUUAAUUGAUGGGGUCAGCGCAAGCGAAGCUCUUGAUCGAAGCCCCGGUAAACGGCGGCCGUAACUAUAACGGUCCUAAGGUAGCGAAAUUCCUUGUCGGGUAAGUUCCGACCUGCACGAAUGGCGUAAUGAUGGCCAGGCUGUCUCCACCCGAGACUCAGUGAAAUUGAACUCGCUGUGAAGAUGCAGUGUACCCGCGGCAAGACGGAAAGACCCCGUGAACCUUUACUAUAGCUUGACACUGAACAUUGAGCCUUGAUGUGUAGGAUAGGUGGGAGGCUUGGAAGUGUGGACGCCAGUCUGCAUGGAGCCGACCUUGAAAUACCACCCUUUAAUGUUUGAUGUUCUAACGUUGACCCGUAAUCCGGGUUGCGGACAGUGUCUGGUGGGUAGUUUGACUGGGGCGGUCUCCUCCUAAAGAGUAACGGAGGAGCACGAAGGUUGGCUAAUCCUGGUCGGACAUCAGGAGGUUAGUGCAAUGGCAUAAGCCAGCUUGACUGCGAGCGUGACGGCGCGAGCAGGUGCGAAAGCAGGUCAUAGUGAUCCGGUGGUUCUGAAUGGAAGGGCCAUCGCUCAACGGAUAAAAGGUACUCCGGGGAUAACAGGCUGAUACCGCCCAAGAGUUCAUAUCGACGGCGGUGUUUGGCACCUCGAUGUCGGCUCAUCACAUCCUGGGGCUGAAGUAGGUCCCAAGGGUAUGGCUGUUCGCCAUUUAAAGUGGUACGCGAGCUGGGUUUAGAACGUCGUGAGACAGUUCGGUCCCUAUCUGCCGUGGGCGCUGGAGAACUGAGGGGGGCUGCUCCUAGUACGAGAGGACCGGAGUGGACGCAUCACUGGUGUUCGGGUUGUCAUGCCAAUGGCACUGCCCGGUAGCUAAAUGCGGAAGAGAUAAGUGCUGAAAGCAUCUAAGCACGAAACUUGCCCCGAGAUGAGUUCUCCCUGACUCCUUGAGAGUCCUGAAGGAACGUUGAAGACGACGACGUUGAUAGGCCGGGUGUGUAAGCGCAGCGAUGCGUUGAGCUAACCGGUACUAAUGAACCGUGAGGCUUAACCUU
rnacentral:rRNA from 1 species